rnacentral:rRNA from 1 species
UUUAACUGAGCGUUCAGUUACUUGACGUAGACCCGAAACCGGGCGACCUACCCAUGAGCAGGAUGAAGCGAAAGUAAAAUUUCGUGGAGGUCCGAACCCACGAGCGUUGAAAAGCUCGGGGAUGACUUGUGGGUAGCGGUGAAAUUCCAAUCGAGCCCGGAGAUAGCUGGUUCUCCCCGAAAUAGCUUUAGGGCUAGCCUCAAGGUGAGAGAUACGGAGGUAGAGCACUGAAUGUCCUAGGGGGUAUUGCACCUACCGAAGACUAUCAAACUCCGAAUGCCGUCAUCUUAUACUUGGGAGUCAGACUGUGGGUGAUAAGAUUCAUAGUCGAAAGGGCAACAGCCCAGAUCGUCAGCUAAGGUCCCUAAAUGUAAGUUAAGUGGUAAAGGAUGUGGGAUUGCACAGACAACCAGGAUGUUGGCUUAGAAGCAGCCACUCAUUCAAAGAGUGCGUAAUAGCUCACUGGUCGAGUGAUCCUGCGCCGAAGAUUUCCGGGGCUAAAACUUACUACCGAAGCUACGGCAUCAGUAAUGAUGGGUAGGGGAGCUUCCCAUACGGGUUGAAGCAUGACCGUAAGGACAUGUGGACAGUAUGGGAGUGAGAAUGUUGGCAUGAGUAGCGAGAUGUGGGUGAGAAUCCCACAGGCCGUAAACCCAAGGUUUCCAGGGGAAGGUUCGUCCGCCCUGGGUUAGUCGGGACCUAAGCUGAGGCCGAAAGGCGUAGGUGAUGGACAACAGGUUGAUAUUCCUGUACUACCGAUAACCGUUUGAGAGAUGGGAUGACACAGUAGGAUAAGCUAAGCACACUGUUGGUUAUGUGUGCCCAAGCA